rnacentral:rRNA from 1 species
GAUGAACGCUGGCGGCGUGCCUAAUACAUGCAAGUCGAGCGAACAGACGAGGAGCUUGCUCCUCUGACGUUAGCGGCGGACGUGUGAGUAACACGUGGAUAACCUACCUAUAAGACUGGGAUAACUUCGGGAAACCGGAGCUUAUACCGGAUAAUAUAUUGAACCGCAUGGUUCAAUAGUGAAAGACGGUUUUGCUGUCACUUAUAGAUGGAUCCGCGCCGCAUUAGCUAGUUGGUAAGGUAACGGCUUACCAAGGCAACGAUGCGUAGCCGACGUGAGAGGGUGAUCGGCCACACUGGAACUGAGACACGGUCCAGACUCCUACGGGAGGCAGCAGUAGGGAAUCUUCCGCAAUGGGCGAAAGCUUGACGGAGCAACGCCGCGUGAGUGAUGAAGGUCUUCGGAUCGUAAAACUCUGUUAUUAGGGAAGAACAAAUGUGUAAGUAACUAUGCACGUCUUGACGGUACCUAAUCAGAAAGCCACGGCUAACUACGUG